rnacentral:rRNA from 1 species
GACGAACGCUGGCGGCGUGCUUAACACAUGCAAGUCGAACGAUGAAGAAAAGAAUUGAAGCUUCGGCAGAAAUUCAUUUCGGAUUAGUGGCAGACGGGUGAGUAACGCGUGAGCAACCUACCUCUUACAAAGGGAUAGCCUCGGGAAACCGGGAUUAAUACCAUAUAACAUUGCGACGAAGCAUUUCGAUGCAAUCAAAGCUACGGCGGUAAGAGAUGGGCUCGCGUCCCAUUAACCAGAUGGUGAGGUAACGGCUCACCAUAGUAACGAUGGGUAACCGGCCUGAGAGGGUGAACGGUCACACUGGAACUGAGACACGGUCCAGACUCCUACGGGAGGCAGCAGUGGGGAAUAUUGCACAAUGGAGGGAACUCUGAUGCAGCGACGCCGCGUGAGUGAUGAAGGAAUUCGUUUCGUAAAUCUCUGUUCUAUGGGAAGAAAAGGACUGUACCAUAGGAGAAAGCUCCGGCUAAAUACGUG